rnacentral:rRNA from 1 species
AAAUUGAAGAGUUUGAUCAUGGCUCAGAUUGAACGCUGGCGGCAGGCCUAACACAUGCAAGUCGAACGGUAACAGAAAGAAGCUUGCUUCUUUGCUGACGAGUGGCGGACGGGUGAGUAAUGUCUGGGAAACUGCCUGAUGGAGGGGGAUAACUACUGGAAACGGUAGCUAAUACCGCAUAACGUCGCAAGACCAAAGAGGGGGACCUUCGGGCCUCUUGCCAUCGGAUGUGCCCAGAUGGGAUUAGCUUGUUGGUGGGGUAACGGCUCACCAAGGCGACGAUCCCUAGCUGGUCUGAGAGGAUGACCAGCCACACUGGAACUGAGACACGGUCCAGACUCCUACGGGAGGCAGCAGUGGGGAAUAUUGCACAAUGGGCGCAAGCCUGAUGCAGCCAUGCCGCGUGUAUGAAGAAGGCCUUCGGGUUGUAAAGUACUUUCAGCGGGGAGGAAGGGAGUAAAGUUAAUACCUUUGCUCAUUGACGUUACCCGCAGAAGAAGCACCGGCUAACUCCGUGCCAGCAGCCGCGGUAAUACGGAGGGUGCAAGCGUUAAUCGGAAUUACUGGGCGUAAAGCGCACGCAGGCGGUUUGUUAAGUCAGAUGUGAAAUCCCCGGGCUUCAACCUGGGAACUGCAUCUGAUACUGGCAAGCUUGAGUCUCGUAGAGGGGGGUAGAAUUCCAGGUGUAGCGGUGAAAUGCGUAGAGAUCUGGAGGAAUACCGGUGGCGAAGGCGGCCCCCUGGACGAAGACUGACGCUCAGGUGCGAAAGCGUGGGGAGCAAACAGGAUUAGAUACCCUGGUAGUCCACGCCGUAAACGAUGUCGACUUGGAGGUUGUGCCCUUGAGGCGUGGCUUCCGGAGCUAACGCGUUAAGUCGACCGCCUGGGGAGUACGGCCGCAAGGUUAAAACUCAAAUGAAUUGACGGGGGCCCGCACAAGCGGUGGAGCAUGUGGUUUAAUUCGAUGCAACGCGAAGAACCUUACCUGGUCUUGACAUCCACGGAAGUUUUCAGAGAUGAGAAUGUGCCUUCGGGAACCGUGAGACAGGUGCUGCAUGGCUGUCGUCAGCUCGUGUUGUGAAAUGUUGGGUUAAGUCCCGCAACGAGCGCAACCCUUAUCCUUUGUUGCCAGCGGUCCGGCCGGGAACUCAAAGGAGACUGCCAGUGAUAAACUGGAGGAAGGUGGGGAUGACGUCAAGUCAUCAUGGCCCUUACGACCAGGGCUACACACGUGCUACAAUGGCGCAUACAAAGAGAAGCGACCUCGCGAGAGCAAGCGGACCUCAUAAAGUGCGUCGUAGUCCGGAUUGGAGUCUGCAACUCGACUCCAUGAAGUCGGAAUCGCUAGUAAUCGUGGAUCAGAAUGCCACGGUGAAUACGUUCCCGGGCCUUGUACACACCGCCCGUCACACCAUGGGAGUGGGUUGCAAAAGAAGUAGGUAGCUUAACCUUCGGGAGGGCGCUUACCACUUUGUGAUUCAUGACUGGGGUGAAGUCGUAACAAGGUAACCGUAGGGGAACCUGCGGUUGGAUCACCUCCUUA